GGCGUUGCCAUGUUGGUGUACUUAAAUGACCGGCGACAACUUUCCUUUUGACGGAGAGCCAGAGGAAAGCGAUCGGAGAGAAACCUCGCCGGUGAAAGGCGGAGUUGAAGAAAAGUGUGGAUUUUGAGUGUGGUUUUAAGGCCGGCUAGUUUGAUGUUUGGAAGGAGAAAAAACAGCUUUUCAAUGAUUGAUGGGGGACCAUGAGCUCUAUAUCGUGAUUAACGGGCCUGGCAACGACCGAUCGAGGGCUGAGGUAGCAGGCUAGCAGCAUUGACCGAGUGGUCGGUGAUAAGGGGUUUCGGUUCUUCGGGGACGGAGGCCAUGCAUGGCUAGCUCAAGGCGGGAUUAAAUGUUGAAUCAGAUGACGACAUUUUGAGAGAUGCAUUCAUGAUGAUGAUGGCUGCUUAAGAACGACUAAAGGAACAGCUAUUGGUGUUGGGUUGGGUUGGCUAUUUACGAAGUGGCAUGGAAUGUCAAGAAACUUACACAUGUGAUGUCUGCUGUAGAACAAGCCAUCAUUGAUGGUGCUGAUGUGAUAAACCUUUCCAUAGGUGAUCUAGGGGCUGGAAAACCAUUGUAUGAAGAUCUAGUGGCAACAGCUGCAUUUGCAGCCAUGGAAAAAGGGCACGGUGGUCUUAGCUGCUACGGGAAAUUACGGACCAUCAUUGGAAACACUAAACAAGAAGUUCCCCUGGGUAUUAAUUGUCACCACAACCUCAAUUUAUAGACGGUUUGCUGUAGGUUUGAGUUUAGGAAACGGUGAAACCAUUUUUGGACAGUUGAUGUACCUUGGUGAUGCCUUUUUGCAGAACCAACUAUUGGUAUACAAGGCUCUAUCACAAUCAUGUACUUCACUUGGUCUGUACGAGACCCCUAAUGGGAUUAUUGUAUUUGAUUCUGGCCAUAUUGAUCAUCAACUUGAUUCUAUAGUUAAUUCAACUGCAUCACCGGCAAUUCUUCUUUCCAAUGGCAAUCCCAUAGCACCAGAAUUUAGACAUUUUCCUUGCUCUUGCAUUGUCGUUAAAACUUAACGAUGCCAAGGUUCUGAUGACAUAUAGAAAC